AGCAGCCGCGGUAAUUCCACGCNCUNAUAGCGUAUAUUAAAGUUGUUGCAGUUAAAAAGCUCGUAGUUGAACUUCAGGCUUGGUCGGGCGGUCUGCCUCACGGUAUGUACUGUCUGACUGAGUCUUACCUCUUGGUGAGCCGGCGUGCGCUUUAUUGUGUGCGUCGGGGAACCAGGACUUUUACCUUGAGAAAAUUAGAGUGUUCAAAGCAGGCUUAUGCCUGAAUACAUUAGCAUGGAAUAAUAAAAUAGGACGUGCGGUUCUAUUUUGUUGGUUUCUAGAGUCGCCGUAAUGAUUAAUAGGGAUAGUUGGGGGCAUUGGUAUUGAGUCGCUAGAGGUGAAAUUCUUGGAUUGACUCAAGACCGACUAUUGCGAAAGCAUUUGCCAAGGAUGUUUUCAUUAAUCAAGAACGAAGGUUAGGGGAUCGAAAACGAUCAGAUACCGUUGUAGUCUUAACAGUAAACUAUGCCGACUAGGGAUCGGACGACCUCAAAUUUGAUGCGUCG
rnacentral:rRNA from 1 species